rnacentral:rRNA from 1 species
UACGAGUGCUUCGAGCGUUAUCCGGAAUCAUUGGGCGUAAAGAGCUCGUAGGCGGUUCGGCAAGUCGGGUGUGAAAACUCCAGGCUCAACCUGGAGACGCCACCCGAUACUGCUGUGACUUGAGUCCGGUAGGGGACCACGGAAUUCCUGGUGUAGCGGUGAAAUGCGCAGAUAUCAGGAGGAACACCGGUGGCGAAGGCGGUGGUCUGGGCCGGCACUGACGCUGAGGAGCGAAAGCGUGGGGAGCGAACAGG